rnacentral:lncRNA from 1 species
GGAGGCGGCUCGGCCCCUUAUAGGGCAGGGCGGCCCGCGACACCCCCGGCCCGCUCGUCAGCACACCCCUCCCGGCGCCCCUCGCCGCUCCCCGCGCCCACUGCGGACCGGUCGACCCGCACCCGCUUUCACCCGCCUUUCCCUUCUUGGCUGUAGUAAAGUUCCUGCCAAAUUGUAGGCGGACGGGGACGGAUGGAAACACGAGCGCGGGACAGACCAGGUCCAGCAAAUCCAGGCCCAAGAGCCGUCCGUGGCGGCUACGGAACAACCGACCGAUACUCCGGUCCGGGAGGACGUGGGGGAAGUGAGCGACAGACUUGGAGGGACAACUCUACAGACUUUCGUAAGUUAGAAGAGAGGAGGUGGUCGACGGAGUAUAUUGAUGGCUGAGAGGAAGCCCCGAGAAAUGGGAGAGGAGACUGAUGGACGGCAGGGUCAAUCCAGGAUGGGAGGACAGCUACCAGGCAUUUUUCAGUUUCGCCUAAGAGACCUGCAGGAGUGGGUGAUGCUGAUCAGCCCAUGGAGUACGUGGUGGAAGUAGUCAUUUACCAAACAGGCUCUGGAAGAUCGUGACAGUACCGAAGAUAAGACAAAAGAUAACAGGGCAAGGAAGUGAUGAUGAGUAGACUUGGCACAAUUCAAAGAGAUGCUUACAAAAUAUAAACUGUGCACGUGCGAAAAGAAAAUUUGAACAGUGCUAGAGGUUGUUAAUCACCAAAUAGUCCAGGGGAUGACCCAGAGGUACACACUUGAUAGACCUAUGGAAGGGCAGGAAUAUAGUAGUAUAUCAGAGGCUCUGAACUGAGUCCCAAAACUCGACCUCCCACCUCCUUCCCAAAAAGGUCAAACAUUUGCUUAGGGUCAAAUGGGAAAGGAGACCUGUGGGCACUGGAUGGGUUGAGGAGGGAGGACAAGGCUUAAGAGGUGUACCUGAUCCUAAGCAUGCGGUAUGGCCAUUUGAUCUUCACUGGGAGACCUAAGUGUAACUCCUGGCAGGUCCAUGUUCACAAUUAAUAACUUUGAGCAAAUUACACAAAAAUAUUCACCAACAACUAGUUGGUAGCUCACAGAGGCAAAUCCUGCAAGAAAUCAAGUCUGCAUGCCUUGGGACAUGGCUUGUCUUGAGGCAGGAGACCAGAAAUAAUAUGUAUGGAAAACAAAGAAAAAAUGUGGAAAAGAGAAUUUUACUCUAAGGUCCUGGAUAAGUGAGAUGCCAACACAAUCAGAGAAGUAUGGCAGGCCCUACAGAAACUUGGAGAAGAACAUAAUCUCAGACAUCAAAGCUCUUCUCCUAACUAUUGCUGCAGUACCUAAUAUUAAAUAAAAGCAUGUGGUUAUUUGCUGUAAUCUCACAAAUUGAGAUUUUUGGGAUUUUUUUAGAAGCUAAAACUUUCCAUACUUUGAGUCCAAGCAUGAAAGGUCUGGAUUUUAAUCUGGGGUCGCCUUCAAUUCUCCCCUCCAAGGGCACGUACAGAGGAUGAGGCUGGAGACUGGAUUAUGGAUAGGAGGGGAGAGGGUUACUUUCAACCUUUAUAAGCAAGGCAUCUGAAAAUUAAAGUUACCCCACUGGUAAAAGUUAUUUAUUUAUGGAAAUUUUAGGAGAACAGUCACCUCCACCAUUUCAAAACAUCAUAAAGACAUGGAAAAUUACACUUUCCCUGCUGCGAAAGCUAUCUUUCGACCUUUUGUCCAGUCAAAUAACAAAAACAGCUGAACUUUGAAACCAGAGGGCUUGGCACACAUUGUAUGUACUGUCCUCAAUGAGGCGUUUAGAGUUUUCAAAGUAAGGAAAAAAAAAAAAAAAAAAAAAAGGCUUGAAAUUAAGUGCAAGUGAUUCACUUCAGAAAUGUGGCAGUGAGCACGCCCUGUGGACAGAGUCAUUAAACAAUGCCCUGAGCUUCACCAGACUGGAGCUGGGAUCCGAGUCCGAAAGAAAAGAUCUCUAGCAGCCUGCCUUGUCAUACCUAACACUAAGAAGAAAUGUCUUCAUAGCAAAAUGUGGCUACUCCAAACUAUAAAAGUAGCCUUAGGUUCUAUCUGCCAUAUUUGAGAAAUAUAUGGACUCAAGUACUUGCAUAAACUUAGUAGAGUUUCUGUAGAUUCUCUUUUUAUUAAUCUGUAAAGAUUUCGUAAAGGCACUUGUAAUUUUGAUUGCUUAUAGACUCUCCAUCCUAGUAUGUCAUUUGCAUAGUCUGUGUCCAAGGUAUUACAUAAGGAUUCAUAGAAGAAUGAAGCGAAAAUAAUUUGCAUCUUAAGAAAACAGAGCUACUUUCCCUUUCCUAAUCCCUAAGGAAAAAGUUUUCCACCCAGUCUUACAUAACACAUUCCUUUUACGAUAAAGUGUGUAAAGUCUACUGUUUGUACAUGGAUCUUUCUUUUUGAUGACAAGACUUCCAGGAGUUGGUACAGAUAAAAAGUCCCCUUGUUCUAGGAGUUGAAAUUUAAAAAAAAUACUUUUUACUGUUGUUAUUAUUAUACCGUCACUCUACAACAGGUGGCAUUAUAUAGAAAGUCUUAUGCUGGACAUUGGACACUACAGAAUCACCAUAAAGUCCUUGUUAAAAGCUGACAAUGUAACUGAGUAAUUUUUAUAUGUGGUGGAUGGGAACCAGAGCAAGGAAAACUCAAAACCAAAACCAUGGUAACCCUAAGGAGAACCAAAAUGUAAUAGAUCCUCUAGCCAUCUUUAGAAAAGAAAGAAAUCAAGAAAAGAUCAUAGAAUGGAUAAGCGAUGAGAUCCCGCUAUAUAGCACUGGGAACUAUAUCUAGUCACUUAUGAUGGAGCAUGACAAUGUGAGAAAAAGAAUGUAUAUACGUAUGUGUGACUGGGUCACCUUGCUGUACAGUAGAAAAUUGACAGAACACUGUAAACCAACUAUAAUGGAAAAAAUAAAAAUCAUUUAAAAAAAGAAAAGAUCAUAAAUGAGUGGUUUGAGAUGUGUUACAGUAAACAUGUACAAUAAAAUAAGAAAGUAUAAAUUUAAAAAAUGAGGACCAGUGAAAUGAAUUAAUCUAGGAGCUUAACACCAGGGAAAAAGUUAAAAGAAAAAAAUGUGCAGAUAAUGAGGUGUAAUGUACAACAUGAGAGUUAAACCAUAAAUUUGACUGAGACCUUUCUGGAGCCAAAGCAAAAAAUAAAAAAUUAAUAUAAUCAGUUGCUCCAUUCUCAUUGUCCCUGAGAAGAAAUGUACAAAUUCUUUCAUGGAAAUAAAGCUUUUAA